CCUUAGCCUCACUCUGUGGCCCUGGGUGUACAGGCUCACUCAACCCUCGUAAGAGCCAGAAAAGGGGCCGGAUGCGGUGGCUCACCCCUGUAAUCCCAGCACUUUGGGAGGCCGAGAUGGGUGGAUUGCUUGAGCCCAGGAGUUUGAGACCAGCCUGGGCAACAUAGUGAGGCCCCAUCUCUAUUAAAAUUGGUUUUAAAAAAGAGCCAGAAGUGGCAGGUGCUGUUCUCAUCCCCACUUCACAGACGAGGAACCUGAGGGUCCGAGACACAGGAAGCUGCUUGAUCCUCCAGCCAGGAUGAGGCUGAGGGAGAGCCCAGGCCAACCCGCUCUUGGAGUUUGGACUUUCAACCGCGAAUUUUCCACAACCGUAUGGAAAUGUUCGUCCAGGGGUUCUGGAAACACUCAGUCCCCAUGGUCUGUCUUCUGUUUUCCUAUUUUUGGUAAGCAUUAAAAACAAAACAAAACAAAACAAAAGCUCUUCCCUUUCCCUGUUGGUCCAUUCUGAGGAAGCGUCACCCAAUGUGGUGACAAACAGUAAGUGGCAUCAGCCCCAGCGUGGCAGUGAUAGGGCGUGGUGGGGACUGUGGCGCGGAGAGUCCCCACAGGAAAGGGAGCAGCGGCUUCACCCACAGAUGCUGCAGCAAGGAGAGCCCCGUGCCAGCUGCCCAGGCUGUUGGAUCCGUUCAGGGAUCCGGCUUGCACGUGGGCCCACGAAGGGGGUCUGCACGCAGGCAGGGUCUCUGUUCCCCGAGCGUCUAUCCCCAGCACCCACAGCAGUGCCCAGCUCAGCUAGGGUGCAAUAAAUGAUGUGUGAACUGGUGAAUUCAUGGAAAUCUCCCACUUUUUACCUAUUGGGGAUUAAUUCCAUGUUUUAAGUCUGGGCCGGCAGUGCCACGUGGUCCUCCAGGUGUGUCCUCUGUCAGGUGCUAGAGGACACCCCAAGGUCAGCAGGGGCUUCUGCUGGGUCUCUGAGCCAUUAUUCUCUCGCCUGCCUCACGUGAACACAGGUUUCCUGGGUGGAGUUUAGUUGAGAGAUCGCAGUCAUUCGCAGGAGGAAACCUGCUGCUCCCUCAGGGGUGCAGUGAGUUUCAGGCAUUAGGACGGAGCCAACACCCAGGCUUCCUAAAGCCCUGAACAUAAAUUUCUCUCAACUCCCUUUUCUUGGGAAUUAGCAAAUCAAACACUGUAUUUUUCAGUGUCUCAAAUCUUGCUUCCUUCCAGCUGAGCCCAAGGAGAGUGAAGGGCAGAGGGUGGCACAGGGUGGAGAUUUGAGAAGUUUAAUUAAAGCCUCAGGUUCAGGCGCAGGGUGAUCCUGAUCCAUCACCAAGGUGUGGCCGCUCCCACUUCAUGAAAAGACAGCCCAGCCCUGAGGAUCAGAGCCAUCUCUCAGAUGGAGGAGAAGUCAACGCCUGACAGCCUUCGCUCAUUUGACAGAUGCUUCCCCUGAAUUCUCCUCUUGGUAAUAAAGUGGUCUCCAUGGUAACUGUUGAGGCCUUGAUGAUGGAUUAGACAGGCUAUUUUUAAUCAUCCUGAAAACAAUGUUGGCAGGCAUGUAAAAUCCUUCCAGAAUCUUCCAGCUCAGCCGAGCCACCAGCAGGAUGCAACUGAGGAAGUGAACCCAGGCAACGCCACAGCAGAAGAGCCACCCAGCUGGGCCCUGCCCAAGAUCCUGACCACAGAAUUGUGAGAAAUGAUGGAUUACUGAUUUUGUUUGAAGUGACAGCAUUUUUUGGGUGGUUUGUUAAGCGGUGAGACGUGAGUCAGGACAGGUGGUACAGAUUGGGCAUGGCUGGGACUUUAGUCAGCCAGGAGAAGUUGUCCGGCAUGGCUGUCCACCGGUCUAGGACCCAGGCCACACCGCCCUGCACCUGGUUACCUGCAGCUCAUGUUAGUGCUGCCUGGCUGUGUGUGUCCCCUCUUUCUCAUUAGGUGCUUUAGUGCCCUCCUGGAAUGUCAGGAUUUAAUUUCCAUUCAGCUUUAAUAAGUCCUCCUGGACCGUGUGCUCACAACUGAAAUUAAUUUCUCCAGCCUGGCUUUGGCGAUUUUCAUCCUUAAUUCCUCUGUGUCCCCAGGGCACCUCCAAGCAUGUUGUCUUAAUUCAUCUUCUGUGAUUCAACAAAGGGAUUGUCCCAGCGUGGGGCACCCGCAUGCCAUGCACGUCUCACCGCAGCCACACCUGGGCCAGACAAAGAAAACAAGGCCCGAUGCCUGCAGCUAGCAAGUGGCAAAGCCAGCAUUUGGAUCAAAGACACACCCCCACUUUUCACCAUGGGGUGUUUCUCCUUCCUGGUCCAUCCCUAAUUACCUUAAAUCUAAUCCUCAGUUCUCU
rnacentral:lncRNA from 1 species